GGAGUCUGGGCCGUGUCUCAGUCCCAAUGUGGCCGUUCAGUCUCUCAACCCGGCUACCGAUCGUAGUCUUGGUGAGCAUUUACCUCGCCAACAAACUAAUCGGACGCGAGCUCAUCUUGAAGCGAAAAACUAUGAUACAAACUUCAUGCGAAGAACGUAUAUUACGCGGUAUUAGCACUUGUUUCCAAAUGUUAUUCCCCACUUCAAGGCAGAUUACUCACGCGUUACUCACCCGUCCGCCACUAGUGAAAUAAAGAGCAAGCUCUCUACACACCCGUUCGACUUGCAUGUGUUAGGCAUACCGCCAGCGUUCGUCCUCGAGCCACGGAUCAAACUCU
rnacentral:rRNA from 1 species